rnacentral:rRNA from 1 species
GCAAGUCGAGCGCUACCUUCGGGUGGAGCGGCGGACGGGUUAGUAACGCGUGGGAACGUACCCUUUUCUAAGGAAUAGCCACUGGAAACGGUGAGUAAUACCUUAUACGCCCUUCGGGGGAAAGAUUUAUCGGAGAAGGAUCGGCCCGCGUUAGAUUAGAUAGUUGGUGGGGUAACGGCCUACCAAGUCUACGAUCUAUAGCUGGUUUGAGAGGAUGAUCAGCAACACUGGGACUGAGACACGGCCCAGACUCCUACGGGAGGCAGCAGUGGGGAAUCUUAGACAAUGGGCGCAAGCCUGAUCUAGCCAUGCCGCGUGAGUGACGAAGGCCCUAGGGUCGUAAAGCUCUUUCGCCAGGGAUGAUAAUGUCAG